rnacentral:rRNA from 1 species
CGGCCGUAACUAUAACGGUCCUAAGGUAGCGAAAUUCCUUGUCGGGUAAGUUCCGACCUGCACGAAUGGCGUAAUGAUGGCCAGGCUGUCUCCACCCGAGACUCAGUGAAAUUGAACUCGCUGUGAAGAUGCAGUGUACCCGCGGCAAGACGGAAAGACCCCGUGAACCUUUACUAUAGCUUGACACUGAACAUUGAGCCUUGAUGUGUAGGAUAGGUGGGAGGCUUUGAAGUGUGGACGCCAGUCUGCAUGGAGCCGACCUUGAAAUACCACCCUUUAAUGUUUGAUGUUCUAACGUUGACCCGUAAUCCGGGUUGCGGACAGUGUCUGGUGGGUAGUUUGACUGGGGCGGUCUCCUCCUAAAGAGUAACGGAGGAGCACGAAGGUUGGCUAAUCCUGGUCGGACAUCAGGAGGUUAGUGCAAUGGCAUAAGCCAGCUUGACUGCGAGCGUGACGGCGCGAGCAGGUGCGAAAGCAGGUCAUAGUGAUCCGGUGGUUCUGAAUGGAAGGGCCAUCGCUCAACGGAUAAAAGGUACUCCGGGGAUAACAGGCUGAUACCGCCCAAGAGUUCAUAUCGACGGCGGUGUUUGGCACCUCGAUGUCGGCUCAUCACAUCCUGGGGCUGAAGUAGGUCCCAAGGGUAUGGCUGUUCGCCAUUUAAAGUGGUACGCGAGCUGGGUUUAGAACGUCGUGAGACAGUUCGGUCCCUAUCUGCCGUGGGCGCUGGAGAACUGAGGGGGGCUGCUCCUAGUACGAGAGGACCGGAGUGGACGCAUCACUGGUGUUCGGGUUGUCAUGCCAAUGGCACUGCCCGGUAGCUAAAUGCGGAAGAGAUAAGUGCUGAAAGCAUCUAAGCACGAAACUUGCCCCGAGAUGAGUUCUCCCUGACUCCUUGAGAGUCCUGAAGGAACGUUGAAGACGACGACGUUGAUAGGCCGGGUGUGUAAGCGCAGCGAUGCGUUGAGCUAACCGGUACUAAUGAACCGUGAGG